UCGAGGGGCAGCAUGGUCUUAGCUUGCUAAGUUUGAUGGCGACCGGCGCACGGGUGAGUAACACGUAUCCAACCUGCCGAUAACUCUGGAAUAGCCUUUCGAAAGAAAGAUUAAUACCGGAUGGCAUACGAAUAUCGCAUGAUAUUUUAUUAAAGAAUUUCGGUCAUCGAUGGGGAUGCGUUCCAUUAGGUUGUUGGCGGGGUAACGGCCCACCAAGCCUUCGAUGGAUAGGGGUUCUGAGAGGAAGGUCCCCACAUUGGAACUGAGACACGGUCCAAACUCC
rnacentral:rRNA from 1 species